CCUAAUAAAGAUUUUUUUUUCUGAUUUAGAUGUGUCUAUAAUUAUCCAAAGCCUUGUGACUGCUAGACUAGAUUAUUGCUAGAAUCUGCUCAUGAACAGAAAUCACAAGAACCUGCAGGGUAGUCACAAUGAGAACUUUAAAUCAGUUCUUAGACAACUGCAUUGAAGAAAUGCAGGUUGUAUCUACCUCGAUAAAGGUAGAGAUUGGAGUUUAAGCACGUGGAUGAAGAUAUUUUGGAAGGUUUAAGAGCAGCAGGACUUGGUGAAAGCCUGGGGAUGUGAAGAAAGAAGCCCUCUGACUGGAACUGUCAGCAACAUGAACAUUACACGUAUUUCAGAAGAAAACAAGAAUAACAAAAGCAUUACUGAAUUUGACACGGACGUUUCCAUGGAAAAAAAAAUCAUCCAUCAAAAAGGGGAAUCAGAGGUGAAGCCACAAAUGUUACAUUGUUUUCUGUUCUGCCCUGUCAGCUAUCUACCCUGUUGACCCAACUGCAGCUUUUUGCCCUCUGACAUUUAGCAAAUGGUUACAAAGCUAACACAAUCUCUGGAAGGAUUCCAAUUACCCAUCUUCAAGAGAUUCUCAGUACUAGUGCUAAGUAAUGAGAAAUGAGAUAUACUCAGGAAAUAUGACUCCCCCAAAGUAGAAAAUAAAAUGAUUUAUAGACAACUUGAUUAUUGCUGCUUUAAAAACCUCAUAAAUUCAUGAACAUAAAUCUGAACAUUUGUUGUUGAGAGUCACAUACUGAACCUUCAUAUAGAUGUAUAUUUUAUUUCUCACUUAUUUUAAGGUUUAACCCUGUUCUCCUGUAGGAGGGCUUGUAUUUUUGUGUAACCCUUAUAAUACCCGUGAUAGAAUAAGAUACAUGUAUUGUUCAUGGUAAAUGUCCUGACCUAAAGGGUGUACUGGCCCCCUUGUGUCUGUCAGGACUGUAAAAUCACUGACACAGUUGCAUACUUCAAAUAUGGAACCUAUUUUGCCCUUCAGUUAUUUCAGUGCAACCUCGGAAAUGACUCUUGUUAUCUUCUUACUUCAAACAUACUUCUUGUAUUCUAUAUCUGACACAAAGUGAAAACCCCUCUGGAGUUAUGAAUGCCAGUAUAAACUAAGAAGGUUACCAUAUCAUAUAUUGCUUUGAACUGGAUGUCAACAUUCUUUUCAGGCAUUUUUCUUAAAUUUCGCAGUUUGGUGUGUCUAUCCAGCAGCAAAAAAAUGCAGCAUUUCUUGAGUUGCCCAAAAAUAGGUUCCUUAGUUUCCUGUUUCUAUGUUGUAUCAAAGGCUCUGGUAAACUAAUUUUUAUUGGGAUGGCCAGUAGCAAUAUGGGGUAGAGAUGGAAAAAUUUAACCAGUUAACCUAGUAAACGUUAGCCCUAGUUGCAUGCUUACCCAGUAUCUAAUUACCCCCAGAGGGCCAGGUCCUGUGGGAACAGACCCUCAACUGCAGCGGCCCAGCUGACAGGACCCUAGCUGGAGUGGGCCUGGCCAGCCAGAGCAGCUUCCUGCCCAUGGAACAAUGGGCCCACCAAGUGUAAUUGCCCAGGAUGAGUUGGAGCAGCCCCAACCAUGGAGGGCCGGGCUGGAGGAGUGGAAUGGCCAGCAGGACCCAAAACAUGGGGCCGUGGCCUGGAGCAGCCCCCACUGCAGGAUUCCAGCCCUCUAUAGUUAACUGGUUAAAUAAUUCAAUUUAUAUUGUUUUACCAGUUUACUUUUUAAUGAGUCUUUACAUCCCUAAUAUAUGGUGCAGAAUUAUUAUUGAUUCCAAAUCUGCUCUUUAUGUAUACCCCAAAAUUGGUGCUGCAUGUGAUCAGCACUGAGAGAAAUAUUUUUCACACAAUCCCAAAUCUUUUCAUCCAGUACAUAGCCCAAAUGCUGUAUCGCCAUUCAGGGUGAGGUGGAAAGGAAUUCUUUUCCUUGGCUCUGUACUCCUGAGACACUAAUACUCCCCAUGAGACUCUUCAUAACAACUAGAACUGGUCAGAUUUUUCCAAAUAAAAAUAUUUUUCAAUGAAAAAGAUCUUUUUUCAAGACUGGAAAGGGGAAGGAAGGAA